rnacentral:rRNA from 1 species
CCCGCUCAGAAACUUAAAUGAAUUGACGGGGGCCCGCACAAGCGGUGGAGCAUGUGGUUUAAUUCGAUGAUACGCGAGGAACCUUACCUGGGCUCAAAUGUAUGUUGACGUAUUCUGAAAGGGAUACUUCUUCGGACAAUAUACAAGGUGCUGCAUGGUUGUCGUCAGCUCGUGCCGUGAGGUGUCGGGUUAAGUCCCAUAACGAGCGCAACCCCUAUCAUUAGUUGCCAUCAGGUCAAGCUGGGGACUCUAAUGAAACUGCCUACGCAAGUAGUGAGGAAGGUGGGGAUGACGUCAAAUCAGCACGGCCCUUACGUCCAGGGCUACACACGUGCUACAAUGGCCGAUACAGAGGGCAGCUACCUGGUGACAGGAUGCAAAUCUCCAAAGUCGGUCUCAGUUCGGAUCGGAGUCUGCAACCCGACUCCGUGAAGUUGGAUUCGCUAGUAAUCGCGCAUCAGCCAUGGCGCGGUGAAUACGUUCCCGGGCCUU